UUAGGUUUUCUAUUUUCAGCUAGAAAAAAAAAUCGGGACAGUCAGACGUUUAUGACACCAUAAAUGGUUAAUGAAAGAGGUAAAAGAAAAAUCAACUUUACAAACUUAAAGCUGUACGACCUUUUAA